UCUGUAUUCAUUUUAGCUUUCUUAAUUCCCUUUCCUUCGUUGCAUCACCGCUAUUAAAAGCAGUCUUCCUUUGACAAAUCAAAAUAUUAAUUAUUUUGAAACCCAGAGUUUAUUAUUGCAAAGACUUUCACUUCCUUGGUAGGGAUCACAGAGUCUUUACCAAACCGAAUAUAGCUAGUCGUAGCGUCAGUACAUUUACAUCGUCUGAGGCGUCCAAGAACACUGACCAGUCUGUGCACUCAAAGCAGCCUUGAAGGGCAAGGGGAGAUGUGGACUGCCCUCAGUCCAAACCUCCAGUCUUGGCUACACCACCUGCUCAUGUUGCAACAGUCUUAGGUGGACUACAUUACGAUCUGAUGAGGUUGACCUCGGUGGACCUCCGAGUGGGACCUCUCAGGUACAAGGUAUCUUUAUUAUCCCCAAUUUGAUGCCCAGCAAGCAGUGAAAAAGGUGCAGCAAACACAUAAGACAACAAAUAACCCAAAACAGAUCACAACACAAAACAGAUCACACUUGUUUCAUGUGAUGAUUGAUCAAACUAAUGGCCUUAGGCAUAAAUCAUUUUUUUAACCGGUUCGUAGUGGCAGCUUAUAUCUGCUCCCUGAUGGCAGCAAGAAGAAUUCAAAGUACAGGGGAUGGGUUGCUUCAGCCAUGAUCGAGCGGUCCUUCCUCAGUGACCUGACCUUAUAUAGGUCACUGAGGUUGCUCAUUUGAGUGCCAGCAAUCUUGCUGCAAACAGGGCAGCAGCCUUUGCUGUGGUCCACACUGGGCUCAGGGAUGCAGCCUUUGGUGUGCUCCAUACUAGUCUAAGGGCAGCAGCCUUUGGGGUGGUCCACACUGGGCUCAGGCCAGCAGCUGUUUUUGUGGUCCACACUGAUCUAUGGCCAGCAACUGCUGUCGGGCUGGUCCAUGUAUGAAUCAGUUAGUCCAGGUCACCAUGGGCAAAGCAGCAGCAUAUGGAUUUCAGUUCCUCAAUCCAGAAUUCUUCUGAUGACUGUCAUCUGUGGAAGUCCUGUUG
ensembl:lncRNA